rnacentral:rRNA from 1 species
GACAGAGACUGCAAGCGUUAUUCGGAUUCACUGGGCGUAAAGGGUGCGCAGGCGGCCGUGUGUGUGAGGCGUGAAAGCCCGGGGCUUAACCCCGGAAUUGCACCUCAAACUACACGGCUAGAGCAUUGGAGAGGGUAGCAGAAUUCACGGUGUAGCAGUGAAAUGCGUAGAUAUCGUGAGGAAUACCAGAGGCGAAGGCGGCUACCUGGACAAUUGCUGACGCUCAGGCACGAAAGCGUGGGGAGCAAAAGGG